rnacentral:misc_RNA from 1 species
ACAUAGCUUUGGGCAUUCUGGAGGUAAGUGCUCUUUUAUCUUGUACUGCUGUCCAUUUGACAAGAUUUGUCUAGUUUCGAAGUUGGAAGACAGUCUAGUUUAAAUAUUAAAAUAUGUGAUGUGCCAGCAUUAGGCAUGGCUUGUGUUAACAAUUCAAGCCAGUUCAUGUCAGGAAUUGUGCACUACUCCACAUUGGUCCAUUGGGGUCCAUGUUUUUCCUCAAAAGGCAUCUAUGCAAGUUUUCUGUCCUAGGUUUCUUAUGAACAUUUCAGACCUCCUACUAGAUGCCUAACAGUGCAUCCGACAUGCCAACAUGACCUUGAGAGGCUCUCUCAAUCCAUGCUUUUGCAUGUCCUUGAAUUUUUUUGCUAUAUUUGCAAAUAAGCUCAAGUACCAACCAUAAUGAAUGCAAGGCAUUAUCUGUUUGUGACACACUGGUUAUCACAGUUUUGCUUCCUAUAGAUGUAUCAUAAAUUUGGGUCCUAAAUGUUGGAUACUAUGUUUGGAAGCAUGUCCACCAGCCUUCUUUAUAAAGACAUUAGUAAUUCUCCACAAGAAUGCCGUGGUUGCUAUGAAUUUGUUCAUGUGUCAACUGUUUCAAAGUGAGUGAAAUUUUGACAUUAUCACUCUACCUUGCUCCCUUCAGUUUACCUAGAAAGAAUGGGACAUUUUUAAUGGUCAAAAGUAAAAUCUUACUGUAGAGCGACAUACUACUACCCAAAAUAUCCACCUAAUAUUCCGUUUAACUUGGAUUGCAUGUAUACGCAGUAUAGUGAGUCAAAUCUCAUCUGGAAAUUAAUUCAGGAUGCUCAUCUGUUUUAGAAGCUACAGGCUCGCAGAAGCAUACUUGAAGGAUUACUUUUUGUACACAUCUUGCCAAUCAAGGCUCAUCCCCAUUUAAUAGUGUUAUAAUUACCAUUCCUGAAUUGUUAUUUUUGUUUCCAUCGAAAGUUUGGUUAAUUUUUGUGAAAUGUUUUUUUUUUUUUUUUUAUGCUCAUUUGCUUGCA